rnacentral:pre_miRNA from 1 species
UUGCUGGCAUUGGCUCUUGGCACUGGGAGAAUUCACAGUUGGUUUCCAUAUAUUCUGUGGUUCUGCGGGUGCCAAAAUCGAAUGUUCGGCUC